UAGGGCAUAAAAAGAGGAGGGGAAAAGAAAGAACAGAAAGUAGAACAUGUGAAGGAAAAGGGCAGCAAAGAAAGAGGAAAUUAGGAGAGAGGAGAAACAAGUGCUGGAAGUAAAGGAGUAGAUGGUGGAGGAGGAGGCAGCAUAAAGAGAUCCGAUGUACAGAGCUUUUAGUCCACUCUAAAAUGGAUCUUAGACUAUCUCAAGCUGUGCGCUGCAGAGAGUAGUUUUGAACUGAGAGGAAGAGCGAUGAACAUGUAUCAGAAGAGAAAAUCAGCUGCUGCUUGGGAAGCAACCUGGAAGUUUGCUCCUUCCUCACAAGACUGAGGGUAUAAUUAGAACCACGCACCUGCUCAGUCCUCCAGUGGCUC